UACGUAGGGACCAAGCGUUGUUCGGAUUUACUGGGCGUAAAGGGCGCGUAGGCGGCGUGGUAAGUCACUUGUGAAAUCUCUGAGCUUAACUCAGAACGGCCAAGUGAUACUGCUGUGCUAGAGUGCAGAAGGGGCAAUCGGAAUUCUUGGUGUAGCGGUGAAAUGCGUAGAUAUCAAGAGGAACACCUGAGGUGAAGACGGGUUGCUAGGCUGACACUGACGCUGAGGCGCGAAAGCGUGGGGAGCGAACAGG
rnacentral:rRNA from 1 species